AUGUAGAUCUUCGUGAAGACCCUUACCGAUAAGACCAUCACCCUUGAGGUUGAGUCCUCUGACACCAUCGACAAUGUCAAGGCAAAGAUCCAGGACAAGGAGGGCAUCCCCCUGGACCAGCAGCGUCUCUUCUUCGUUGGCAAGUAGCUCGAGGAUGGACGCACCCUCGCGACUACAACAUCCAGAAGGGGUCCACCUGGCCUCCACCUGGUGCUCACGUUUUGUGGUGGUAUGCAGAUCAUCGUCAAGACCCUCACCGGCAAGACAAUCACCCUGGAGGUGGAGUCCUCGGACACCAUUGACAACGUGAAGGCCAAGAUCCACGACAAGGAGGGCAUCCCCCGAGACCAGCAGCGUCCCAUCUUUGCUCGCAAGCAGCUCGAGGAUGGCCGCACCAUGGCUGAUUACAACAUGUAGACAAAGUCCAACCACCAUCUGGUGCUCAGGCUCCGUGAUCGCAUGCAAAUCUUUGUCAAGACCCUCACCAGUAAGACCAUCACCCUCGAGGUUGAGUCUUUUGACACCAUUAGCAAUGUAAAGGCCAAGAUCCAAGACAAGGAGGUCAUUCCCCCGGACUAGCAACGUCUAAUCUUCGCCGACAAGCAGCUUGAGGAUGGCCGCAUCAUGGCGGACUACAACAUAAAGAAGGAGUUCACCCUCCACCUGGUGCUCCGCCUCCGUGGUGGCAUGCAGAUAUUUGUGAAGACCCUCACCGGCAAGACUAUCACCAUGGAGGUGGAGUCAUCUGACACCAUAGACAACGUGAAGGCGAAGAUCCAGGACAAGGAGGGCAUCCCCCGGACUAGCAGCGCCUCAUCUUUGCUGGUAAGCAGCUUGAGGAUGGCCGCACCCUAGCGGACUAUAACAUCCAGAAGGAGUCCACCCUUCACUUGGUGCUCCGUCUCCGUGGCGGUAUGCAGAUAUUCGUCAAGACCCUUACUGGCAAGACCAUCACCCUUGAGGUCGAGUCCUCUGACACCAUCGACAAUGUCAAGGCAAAGAUCCAGGACAAGGAGGGCAUCCCCCCGGACCAGCAGCGUCUAAUCUUCGCUGGCAAGCAGCUCGAGGAUGGCCGCACCCUUGCAGACUACAACAUCCAGAAGGAGUCCACCCUCCACCUGGUGCUCAGGCUUCGUGGUGGUAUGCAGAUCUUCGUCAAGACCCUCACUGGCAAGACCAUCACCCUUGAGGUCGAGUCCUCUGACACCAUCGACAACGUCAAGGCAAAGAUCCAGGACAAGGAGGGCAUCCCCCCGGACCAGCAGCGUUUAAUCUUCGCUGGCAAGCAGCUCGAGGAUGGCCGCACCCUUGCGGACUACAACAUCCAGAAGGAGUCCACCCUCCACCUGGUGCUCAGGCUUCGUGGUGGUAUGCAGAUCUUCGUCAAGACCCUCACCGGCAAGACCAUCACCCUGGAGGUGGAGUCCUCGGACACCAUCGACAACGUCAAGGCCAAGAUCCAGGAUAAGGAGGGGAUUCCACCGGAUCAGCAGCGUCUCAUCUUCGCUGGCAAGCAGCUCGAGGAUGGCCGCACCCUUGCGGACUACAACAUCCAGAAGGAGUCCACCCUCCACCUGGUGCUCAGGCUUCGCGGUGGUAUGCAGAUCUUUGUGAAGACCCUCACCGGCAAGACCAUCACCCUGGAGGUUGAGUCCUCGGACACCAUCGACAACGUCAAGGCCAAGAUCCAGGACAAGGAGGGCAUUCCACCGGACCAGCAGCGUCUAAUCUUUGCCGGCAAGCAGCUCGAGGAUGGCCGCACCCUUGCGGACUACAACAUCCAGAAGGAGUCCACCCUCCACCUGGUGCUCAGGCUUCGCGGUGGUAUGCAGAUCUUUGUGAAGACCCUCACCGGCAAGACCAUCACCCUGGAGGUUGAGUCCUCGGACACCAUCGACAACGUCAAGGCCAAGAUCCAGGACAAGGAGGGCAUUCCACCGGACCAGCAGCGUCUAAUCUUCGCCGGCAAGCAGCUUGAGGAUGGCCGCACCCUUGCGGAUUACAACAUUCAGAAGGAAUCCACCCUCCACCUUGUCCUCCGCCUUCGUGGUGGCAUGCAAAUCUUUGUAAAGACCCUCACGGGCAAGACCAUCACAUUGGAGGUGGAGUCUUCGGACACCAUCGACAAUGUGAAGGCAAAGAUCCAGGACAAGGAAGGCAUUCCCCCGGACCAGCAGCGUCUCAUCUUUGCUGGUAAGCAGCUUGAGGAUGGCCGUACCUUGGCGGACUACAACAUUCAGAAGGAGUCCACCCUUCACUUGGUGCUCCGUCUCCGCGGUGGCCAGUAGGCUCCUGGCCAUGGAACUGCUUCUGUCUCUGGGUUCACAAGCCCCUGUCCAUUAUGUGUCCUCCAAUGGAGUCUGUCUCUGUCUACCGUACUGUGAUGCAGUAUUAUCGUUUGUAUCUUUGAACUUCUGGUGCGCAGCAGCUUUGGUGAACUAUGAAAAAUAAGUGAGCCCAGGAUUCGGUGUAUAAUUCUGGAGGUCGAGUCUUCGGACACCUUUGAUAA